rnacentral:rRNA from 1 species
AUUGAACGCUAGCGGGCUGCUUUACACAUGCAAGUCGAACGAGUGGCGGACGGGUGAGUAAUAUCUCGGAACGUGCCCAGUAGCGGGGGAUAAAUACUCGAAAGAGUGGCUAAUACCGCAUAAUACUGGAGCGGGCGAUAUAGGAAUAGCUAGUUGGUUGGGUAAAGGCCCAACAAGGCAAAGAUCCUUAGCGUGGUUGAGCGGACGACCAGCCACACUGGGACUGGGACACGGCCCAGACUCCUACGGGAGGCAGCAGUGGGGAAUUUUGUACAAGGGGGGAAACCCUGAUCCAGCCGUCCCGCGUGUAUGAGAAGGCCUUCGGGUUGUAAAGUACUUUUGGCAGAGAAGCGGUAUCUGCAGAAUAAGCACCGGCUAACUACGUGCCAGCCGCCGCGGUAAUUC